GACGAACGCUGGCGGCGUGCUUAACACAUGCAAGUCGAACGGAAAGGCCCUGCUUUUGUGGGGUGCUCGAGUGGCGAACGGGUGAGUAACACGUGAGUAACCUGCCCUUGACUUUGGGAUAACUUCAGGAAACUGGGGCUAAUACCGGAUAGGAGCUCCUGCUGCAUGGUGGGGGUUGGAAAGUUUCGGCGGUUGGGGAUGGACUCGCGGCUUAUCAGCUUGUUGGUGGGGUAGUGGCUUACCAAGGCUUUGACGGGUAGCCGGCCUGAGAGGGUGACCGGCCACAUUGGGACUGAGAUACGGACCAGACGGCUACGGGAGGCAGCAGUGGGGAAUAUUGCACAAUGGGCGGAAGCCUGAUGCAGCAACGCCGCGUGCGGGAUGACGGCCUUCGGGUUGUAAACCGCUUUCGCCUGUGACGAAGCGUGAGUGACGGUAAUGGGUAAAGAAGCACCGGCUAACUACGUG
rnacentral:rRNA from 1 species